UGGGGAAUAUUGCACAAUGGGCGCAAGCCUGAUGCAGCCAUGCCGCGUGUGUGAAGAAGGCCUUCGGGUUGUAAAGCACUUUCAGCGGGGAGGAAGGCGAUAAGGUUAAUAACCUCAUCGAUUGACGUUACCCGCAGAAGAAGCACCGGCUAACUCCGUGCCAGCAGCCGCGGUAAUACGGAGGGUGCAAGCGUUAAUCGGAAUUACUGGGCGUAAAGCGCACGCAGGCGGUUUGUUAAGUCAGAUGUGAAAUCCCCGGGCUCAACCUGGGAACUGCAUCUGAUACUGGCAAGCUUGAGUCUCGUAGAGGGGGGUAGAAUUCCAGGUGUAGCGGUGAAAUGCGUAGAGAUCUGGAGGAAUACCGGUGGCGAAGGCGGCCCCCUGGACGAAGACUGACGCUAAGGUGCGAAAGCGUGGGGAGCAAACAGG
rnacentral:rRNA from 1 species